rnacentral:rRNA from 1 species
UACAGAGGGUGCGAGCGUUAAUCGGAAUUACUGGGCGUAAAGCGUGCGUAGACGGUAGCGUAAGUCAGAUGUGAAAGCCCCGGGCUCAACCUCGAGACGUCGGUUGAAACCAUCUGGCUAGAGUCCGGAAGAGGAGUGUGGAAUUCCCGGUGUAGCGGUGAAAUGCGCAGAUAUCGGGAAGAACACCCGUGGCGAAGGCGGCACUCUGGGACGGUACUGACGCUGAGACGCGAAAGCGUGGGGAGCGAACAGG